GCUUCGUGGCGCAGUUGGUGGGGUGUUUGACUGACAUUCCGGGGACCAAGGUUCGAAUCCCGCAUGAGGCA